AGGUGGGGCUGAUGACUGGGGUGAAGUCGUAACAAGGUAGCCGUACCGGAAGGUGCGGCUGGAUCACCUCCUAACAGGGAGACAAACAUUGAUCAUGAUGUCUGGUUUUAUAUUCCUAGACCAUGGUCCUGUCACCUUAGGUCGAUCGGUACCUCAGCUCAGAGUCUUUAUCUAUAUAAAGGGUUUAGAUUCUGUUUUCAGUUCCUAAACUUGUCUAGGUCACACCCAGCAAGGGUAAUCCUGGGCCAUUAGCUCAGGUGGUUAGAGCGCACCCCUGAUAAGGGUGAGGUCCCUGGUUCAAGUCCAGGAUGGCCCAUUCGAUGUUGGGGGUAUAGCUCAGUUGGUAGAGCGCCUGCUUUGCAAGCAGGAUGUCAGCGGUUCGAGUCCGCUUACCUCCACUGAUCGACCUCCUGAUAUCAAAAUCCAGGAGAUUUUGCUGGUUGGCUUUGACUUAGAUUUUGUUUUGUCUGAAUGAACCUAGCUUCUUAUCAUUCCAAACUUUUAUUCUUCAAUAAGAGUUGGUUGAUAGCAUGCUGGGCUCACUACAUUUCUUCGAUUUGUAGAGAUGUUCAGUAGAACCUUGACAACUGCAUAGGUGAGUCUGGAAAGAAAAAAGCAUCUCAUGGAUGCAUGAUUCUUUCAUGUCAACAUUUCGAUUUAUGCCAUGCAUAGAUUGCUAUGUUGAAAGAGAAUUAUGUAUAAAUUCUUGAGUAAGAGUCGAGACUCUAUUUUGAACUUUGAAGGUAUUAAUUCCAUUAGAGAUUAUUUAUUUCCAGUUUAUUUAUAUGCCUUGAGUAAAUGCUUGGCGUUUUAGAUAACCAAAAAAUAAAUAAUGAGAUAAGUAGCAAAUUGCUGCUUCUUUUCAAUUUAGAGAUCAAAUGGUCAAGCUAUGAAGGGCUC
rnacentral:misc_RNA from 1 species